UCCAGCACAACGACAACAGAAGGUGGUGCACGUCUGGGCUUCACACCUGAGUCCAGCUGAGACGCUGCGAGGAGCCAGCAGAGGGCGCCGUCACACUGUGACUGAGUGUUGCUGAGGGAGAGGAGAAGUCUGACAGACUCUGACCCAAAAACUCUCAAAGUUUUACUUUGAGGGUCAUUCAAAGUUUCUGUUUCACUUCUCAUCUAUCUGUCUGUCUAUUUAUCUAAUAUAUCUGAGCUGCAGACUAUUUACAAACCAGUCUAAAGUGUGGACACAGCCUCUCAUUUUAUGGUUUUUCUUUAUUUUCAUGAUUAUUUACAUCGUAGAUUCUCACUGAAGGCAUCAGAACAAUGAAUGAACACGUGGAAUUAUGUAGGAAACAAAAAGUGUGAAAUAACUCCAAACAUGUUUUAUAUUUUAGAUUCUGUAGAAUCACCACCCUUUGCUUGUUUGUUGAUGCUUGAUCUUCCAGGUGCAGAAAUCCCGAAGGUUGAUUCUGUUCAUCUGGAUGUUUCAUCAUCGUCAGGUGAGCGACCUGGAAGUGGAAGAUGCCGGCAUACUGUGAGGUGAAGCUCUGCCCAGGAGGGACCACUCUGUUCAGGAUCUGAGGGUCCAGAGUCAGGGAGGCAAUGGCCGCCAGGAGCCAGCAGUCACCUGACAGACACAGCAAUGAGCACGCCCGCUGUCAUCAAACUCACCCAGCUCUCCCUGACAGACGUCUGUUCUUCUGGCUCCGUCAGCGAGGAAGCAAGGAUC